AAGACGCGUGUUGACGAAAGCAGUCGUGAGUGUAGGAUUAUUUCAAGACUCCGCGGAUACAUUAUACCUGCAGAGAAACUGAAUAUAAAAGAAGGUUAUGAACUAUUAGAAGUAGAAGGCGCUCUGGUGAAUAAAAAGGCAUCUUGAUUGUGGUGGAGUGAAGGCCCUGGUUUCUCUCAAAGUGUUUGGGAGCAGGGAUUGGUUUUCUUUCUUGUUUUCUUGGUUUUCUAAUUCCUGGCAUUUAAUUCCAGUUGAUUUGAUACAUUUUGAUUUAUCCAUUACAGACCACAGCCCUGCAUAGGAACUUGUCUAUUCUCCUCUCCAUCAACUCACUUCAGUUAAGGUUAUUGCAGAGAAUGGACUGGUUAAUUAAUAUCAUUUCCGCGUUUGACACUCAAGCAUUUGCCUUCAUUAGAGAACACAUUGGCUACCUUUGGUACUACAAAAGCAACAUUGGCAAGUUGGAGGUUAAAUUUAGAGAACUAGAUGCUCGUCGGGAAGAUAUCCAAAGAAGAGUUGAUACAGCGAAACGUAAGAGAGCUGAAGAGGAAGUCAGUGAAAUUAAAAAUUGGUUCGAGGAAGUAAAAAGAAUGAAACGAGAGGUGGAGAGAAUCAGAGAUGAUUUAGCUUCCGAGAUCUCCACCAAUUACUUUCUAAACAUAAAGUUGCACUACAAACUCGGAAGAGAUGCUGCUAAUCAUAUAAAAACCAUUGAUGAUGAUCUUCGAAGUCGCAAUUUUGAUAUAGUGUCUCACGAGCGUCCACCCCCAAGCACUACAACUUCUCUGUUGUAUAAUGAAGAUUACCUGAUUUUCGAUUCAAGGGAGUCACAUGUGAGGAAAAUACUUGAAGCACUGAAGAAUGAAGCUGUGCACUCAAUUGGGCUUUGGGGCAUGGGAGGAGUGGGAAAGACGAUGUUAGUCAAAGACGCCGCGAAGCAAGCCAAGGAGCAGAGCUUGUUUGGUGAGGUGGUGAUGGUGACCAUAUCACAAAACAUUGAUCUGAAGAGAAUUCAAACUGAGAUAGCAGAGUGUUUGGGUUUUAAAUUAGAGGAAGAAAGUCUAGAAGUAAGAGCUUUCAAACUUGCAGACAGAUUAACGACUACAAGAAACAAAGUAUUGGUGAUAUUAGAUGAUUUAUGGGAGCAGUUGGAUCUGUCAAAGGUUGGGAUUCGACUUCCAGAGAUGGCUACCACUUGCAAAUUGGUGAUCACAACAAGAAACAAAUAUGUCUGUGAAAGAAUGAGUUGCCAAGAGAUAGUUGAGUUGAAUAAAUUAUCAGAUGAAGAAUCUUGGAGUCUAUUCAAGAGAAGAGCAGGGGAUGCAGUAGAAUCUUCCACAAUAAGGGAAUUGGCAUGGAAUGUGAUGAGAGAGUGCGCUGGUCUGCCUAUGGCACUGGUGGUUCUUGGCACAGCACUAAAGGGUAAGAGACCUGUGAUUUGGGAGGUAGUGUUGAUGCAGCUAAAAAGGGUGAAGACGGUGGAUCUCGAAGGCGUGAGUAAAAAACUUUUUCAUUCCAUCAAAGUAAGUUUCGAUUUCUUAGAGAGUAAGGCAGCCAAGUCUUGCUUCUUGCACUGUUGUCUCUACCCUGAAGAUACAAAUAUUCCUAAAGAUGAACUGAUGCAUAUGAUGGUAGGAGGGGGCCUCUUGGCUGAUGUUGAAACUCUAAACGAAGCACAGAGCAGAGUGGAUCUACUGCUUGACUAUCUAAAAGCUUGUGGUUUGCUUCUUCAAGGUUGGCAUGAAGACUUUGUAAGAAUGCAUGAUGUUGUUAGGGAUGUGGCGAUACAGAUCGGUGAUGCGGCAGAUCAUGCGUUCUAUGUAAGAGCUGGGCAAGGCUUGACAGAGUGGCCAAGAACUACUGAGAGUGAGAUGCGAAGGCUUUCAUUGAUGAACACUGAUAUCAAAGAUCUUCCUCCUGAUCCAAUGCAAUAUCCAAAACUUGAGAUGUUGAUCCUGAGACUCAACAAAAGGUUAUCAAGCAUCCCAGAAAUGUUCUUCCAACAUAUGGGAUCUCUGAUGGUUCUUGACUUGAGUCAAACCGGUAUUAAAUCGCUGCCAGAAUCAUUCUCUUGUCUCAUUAAUCUCAGAGCAUUGAACCUGGAAUAUUGUCAUUAUCUAAAAGAUAUAUCUCACAUUAAAGGGUUGAAGAAGCUUGAAAUACUUAUUCUGAAUAAUGCUCAAGUGUCCAUUGCUCCAGAAGGUCUAGAAUGGGCACAAAAUCUGAGGUGUGUUCAUUUGUAUACUGGAGGCUCACCUUCCCUUACUUAUUAUUUUUCCAACGAAUUGCCAAGAUUUCCACGGCUAGAACAAUUGUUCCUAGGCGAGUUUGUAGGUAGCUUUCAAGAGUUGAUUAGCUCGAGGCAUUUAACUCACGUAUUCAUCAUGGAUGGGCUGGAUUUCGAUGAUUCCUUCUUGUCACAGGAGGAGCUAGUCUCACUAGAUUCUUGGGCUGAUCGACUUCUAGAAUUUGGCCUUUCUUUUCUCCAAGGUGAGGCAUGCCAUCUGCCUUUAACCAUUCAUAGAAGAUCUCUCAAACUGAGGGGAACCAAGAAGCCCUUGGCUGUUUGGGUCAAGAAGUUACUUGAAAAAACAACAGCGUUGAAAUUAGUACAAUUUCAGGAAACUGAACUGAUUUCCAUGAACAGCGAUAUCCCACCGCUCGUGUUUUCAAGUUUGAAGUGUCUUGAAGUUGUCAACUGGCCAAAGUUGACCAAGUUGUUGGGCGAUGAGUUAUCGUUGCAUGAAGAAAUCCCACUUAGCCAACUCCAUGAAUUGGUCAUGGACAAUUGUCCUAGGUUGACCAAGUUAAUACCAUCCAGACUUUGUCAGCGAAAUCUGCGGGAACUAUGGAGACUAAAAGUUAUGAAUUGCCCUAUGAUGUUGGAACUGUUCCCAUGUGAUCAAGGAGCCCAUGACAUAAUUGAAUUGCUACCAACACUGAAGGAUCUCUAUUUAAUAGGCCUCCGGAGUCUACAGAAUGCAUUACAACCAUUCCAAUGCCUACCAAACUUGAAGGAUUUGUACAUCUGUGAUUGUGGAGUGAGAUAUGUAGUUUCAUCUGAGAUGGAGACAGUGGCAAUAUUGGCAGAUCCUUUUCCAGCACUAGAGAAUCUUGAUAUCAGAUAUUGCCCAGAGAUGAUUGGGAUGAUCUUUCCUCGUCCUUCUUCUUCGCAAACCCGGUGCUAUUUCCAGGUGCUAAGAGAACUCAGGAUCUGGUCUUGUCCAAGACUAACGCAUCUUCUCUCCUGCAAGCAAGCAAUAAGCAUGCAACAUUUGAGUGAGCUUGAUAUAGUAGAUUGUGAUGCAUUGGAGGCUGUGGUGAUUUCCACAGAGAAUAUAGUGGAAGCAUCUGCAAGCACAUCCACACAUGUUGUUGAUAGUGAAUCUUACAAUAGCCCUUUUCCUAAUUUGAAAGAACUCUUCCUGAAUAAUUUGCCUCAACUCACUGCCUUCUGUCACCCCACAGCACUCCCGAUUGACUGGUUACAUCUUACACAUUCAGGCAUAAUAGAAUGCCCAAAACUACAGCAUCCUUUGUUCGGACCCCGUACACCUGCCCAUGAACUAGUGAAAGACACAAGUGAAGAAGAGGAAGGAGAGACAGAUGAUGCAGCCAUGUUGGACCUCAUUGAUGAUGAAAGUGAAGGAGAGGAAGGAGAGACAGAUGAUGCAGAAGGAGAAGAAGAAGAGACAGAUAAUGCAGAAGAAGAAUAAAAAGAGGGAGGUGAUUCGGAAGUAGAGAUAGAUGAUAACGAGGAGAGGAAGACGAGACAGAAGAGGAAUUAGAAGAGACAGAUGAAGAAGAAGAAAAAGAGGAAGGUGAUUCGGAAUCUGAUCGGCAGCUUGAAGGAUAAAGGACACUUAACUGCUAUGAAUGGUGGAAUGCAACAACUGGAAGUACUGAGAUUAUGCAGACUCGGCAGCUUGGUCCCUUGACCUCAGAAGUAAUUGGAUUGCUUGUAAUGUAAAUGGAGGCAAUUUUGAUCACAGUGGCAAUUCAGAUUCUUGUUGUGUUUACUUGUGUGGUCGUUUGGUUUGGUUGUGCCUUGUUUCAAAUUUCUACUGGUGUUCGGCUACUGAUGGUUACUUAGUUUUGUUUAUUUGUGUUUUGCUGCUUCUGAUGAAAAAAGUUACUAUUGAAAUGGGUUUGGGCUAAACUUUCUUCAAUUGUGCCUGUGAAGAUAACUGCUCAUCCCAAAACUCCGCAAUCUGGUCGUAACUGGCUCUCUGUUGCUCGAGAUGAUAGACUUCAACCUGAAACAUCUCCCCUUAUCCAAGGUCCCGCCUUGGAUAAAUUGAAAGCUUCGGUUUCAGUGAUCAUCAAUAGAUUGAUUACGAAAUUUUUUGGAAAAUAUCAAGUUGGUUUUAUCGAACCAAUGGAAACAAUGGGGAGAAGUUCAGAUCAUGGAUUUUCCAAAUGGGUUUUUUCUCUUUCGUUGCAGCUCCCAUGAAGCAAUGCAGUUGAUUCUGUUCGAUGGUCCUGGACUGUGAACGGACUCGUACUUCAGCUUUUCCCCUGGCAGCCAAAUUUUCAACCCGUUACUGCGAAGUUAUCUAAUGCAGCUAUUUGGGUGCAAAUCCAUCAUUUACCAAUUGAAUGGUGGGAAGAUGAGAUCCUAGAAGACAUUGCUAGCAAGAUUGGCCGUGUUCUUAAGGUAGAUGAGCAAACUUCAUCUCUAAAUCGGGCUAGAUACGCACGGUGAAUUUUUUUUAUCUAUGAGGGGUUUUUGGAUUGGAGAUGAAGAUGAAGAUAAGGUCUUCAUUGAUGUUCAUUAUGAAAGACUCCCAACGUUUUGUUACCGCUGUGGGAUGAUAGGCCAUGGGGCGAGGCCAGUUGUAACCGACUACCGGCGAAUUCUCUGCAACCAUCCUCAAACUCUGAGCUUGGUUCUGGUUUAAGGGUUGGACGGCAGAUGAAUCCCUCGCAGGUAGUCAAAAGGAGGCAGCUAAGCAGCCUGGGCUGGAGAAGUCCACUAAUUCAGAAUCCAUAUCUCCAGAUUUAGAUUUUGGUUCAUCAUGGCUGGUGGCUUCCCGGCGUCGCUCGGGCCGACGCCGUGGUGGCUUAC